rnacentral:rRNA from 1 species
CAGAGACUGCAAGCGUUAUUCGGAUUCACUGGGCGUAAAGGGUGCGCAGGCGGCCGGGUGUGUCAGAUGUGAAAUCCCGAGGCUCAACCUCGGAACUGCGUCUGAAACUACUCGGCUAGAGUAUUGGAGAGGUAACGGAAUUCACGGUGUAGCAGUGAAAUGCGUAGAUAUCGUGAGGAACACCAGAGGCGAAGGCGGUUACCUGGACAAUUACUGACGCUCAGGCACGAAAGCAUGGGGAGCAAAAGGGAUUAGAUACCCCUGUAGUCCAUGCCCUAAACGGUGCACACUAGGUCUUGGCGGAUUCGACCCCACCAGGGCCCAAGCUAACGCGUUAAGUGUGCCGCCUGAGGACUACGGUCGCAAGACUA